rnacentral:rRNA from 1 species
GACGAACGCUGGCGGCGUGCUUAACACAUGCAAGUCGAACGCUGAAGCUCAGCUUUUGUUGGGUGGAUGAGUGGCGAACGGGUGAGUAACACGUGAGUAACCUGCCUCCUUCUUUGGGAUAACGCCCGGAAACGGGUGCUAAUACUGGAUAUUCACUGGUCUUCGCAUGGGGGUUGGUGGAAAGGGUUUUUCUGGUGGGGGAUGGGCUCGCGGCCUAUCAGCUUGUUGGUGGGGUGAUGGCCUACCAAGGCUUUGACGGGUAGCCGGCCUGAGAGGGUGACCGGUCACAUUGGGACGGAGAUACGGCCCAGACUCCUACGGGGGGCAGCAUGGUGGAAUAUUGCACAAUGGGCGCAAGCCUGAUGCAGCGACGCCGCGUGAGGGAUGGAGGCCUUCGGGUUGUGAACCUCUUUCGCUCAUGGUCAAGCCGCAACAAUGGUUGUGGUGAGGGUAGUGGGUAAAGAAGCGCCGGCUAACUACGUG